AAGGUACUUGUUCAAAAACCAAUGAUCUUGCUGGUGCACUUUCACCUUACGAGAAAACAAUUUCACCUUACGAGAAAACAAUUUCACAAAAUCUUCGUUUAAAUCACAAUCACUUCAAUACACUUUUUUUUUUUUUAUUGUAAAUUAUCACUUCAAUACACUUCUUUAUCCUUGUGCUGCACUGCUGCUAAAGGUGAUGGAUGGGGAUUUUGCUUUUAAGUUGGUGAAGAGUAUGAGUAUGGG
rnacentral:lncRNA from 1 species